AAGCACCUUAGAGGACAAAAAGAGCACAGAUCAGCAACUUAGGAGAGCUUAGUUUCGCCCACCCACAGAUUUAAACCUGUACACGACAAGAUUUUAUGUAAAAAACCCACAUCCAUCUCUUCAGCCAAAAUAUAUAAAAAACCCCAUUUUGGACCGCAAGAGAGGAGAAAGAGUUCCAUCAUCAUUAUUUUCUUGAUUAAAUAAAAUACUAAAGACGUUUUUAUCCCAAGAGUGCGCAGCUUACUGAUCUCCUGUUACAUAACUUCUGGGCGAUGAAGUCCAUCAAACUUUGAAAAAUCCAGUUGUCGCCUGCAGCCGUUCAGGGGCGACAAAAAGUGCAAAGUUCCUCUUAUCCCUCGCCCGACCCACUAACCCUGGAUGUCACACACUCCUGGGAACAUCACCACGACAUAACGAGGGCUGACUGAGCCACAGUGUGUGUGUGUGUGUGUGUGUGUGUGUGUGUGUGUAAGUUGUGCUAUUUAUUCGACUGUGGUGGUGGGGGGGUGCUGUCUCAGUGAAUGUGUGUGUGUGUGUGUGUGUGUGCAUGGCUGUUCCGUCAGUGUGAACAUGAAACGUCGAAGCUGUGUUUCCCCUCGUUCGCUGUGAUGGACGGGAGGUCAGCGGGACUUUCUCGCCAGAUUGAGUUUGACAUAUCCGCAGUUUGAAAAGCUCAAACUACUUGCACAGGAGGAUGAAUGGCAAAAAAAGAAAAGAAAUUGUGGUACUUUUUAAAAUAUAUAUAUAUAUAUAUAAAGGUACCACUAAUGAUACCAUUAAAAGGCACAAUGAGUAGGAUUUGUCAGGUGUGGUUUGUAAACACAACAUUCAAAGUUAGCCCCUCCUCCCUGGCUAAGCUCGCUACAUUUCCUUUUUUCUGCAGUCUGCAUCCGCGAUUUUCAUGGCUUCCAAUUGGAUGCGGUGCUAUUUAUCUGCGCUGUGAUUGGCCCAGAAGAGUCCUGAGCUCAGCAAAAGACGAAAAUCCAGAUGUAGUGCACGGACUCUGCAGACACACACACCAACACAUACUCACUCCUACUCAUCCUGCCUUUAAAUAGACUGAACCUUCAAUAUUUUUGAGAUCUUUAAUAUUGUUUUUUUUCCUUUUGUUUAAUUAUUAGCUUCACAAAUGGAUAUAUUGCGUUGUUGAAUAUAACUUUUCAUAUGUCUGGUCUUCCACUCCUGAACUGAGCUUAACUUUGAGAGCUGCCUGGGUUUUUUUCCUCACUCCCAGUAAACAGUGGCUGAUGGUCGUCCCAGUCUCCUUUUUUUAUUUAUUAUUAUUAUUAAUUUUUUUUUUGGAGACAUUCACUCUCGACAACAACAGGUGAUAAAAGCAGAGAGCACAGGGACAAAUGGACAGUCUCAAAAAUACUGUUGAAGACAUUUAUAUUCAGUCAGUAUUUUAUGACCAUCCAAGUAUAAAAAAAAAAAAG